AUUGUUUUUAUUCUUCAGUUUAGAUCAAAAUAUGCAGCUUUAAUUGCCAUUUAGUAAUGCCAUUUAUUCUCUUCAAGGGGACAGGUAGAAUGGCAGUUAUGAAAGCCAGAGGAAAUCAAGAUAUUUGGCUUCUAUGUGAUCUUAGUGUUUAUUAAGAACCUCCACACAGACAAAAGAUGUAAAAGGCCUGAUCCUAGACUGAGGGAAUUCAUGAUAUUGUCUCCAAAUUGUGUGAGAAAAAUUUGUGAUCCAUUCAAGUCCAUUUAUUUGACUUAGCCUCACAGAUACUUCCUCAAUUUUCCCUUCCACCAAGUUAGGAUCAAUAGCAUCUCCUGGGCAUGGAGCUGUCUUGGCAGUCUCUGAUCACUGAGCUUUCUCAGGAAGUACUCUGUCUUUUUGAGCAGAAGGAUUUUUAUAUUAAGGGGAAAGGUGGCUUGUACAUAGCCAUGAAGCAUAAGGAAAGGAGAAAAGCUAAUAUAAAAAUGUAUUGUUGAGAUCACUGCUAGGGCAACAGAGGCUCAAUUCCAUUGACAUGCUGAGAAGUAUACAGAAGGCCUCCCAGAAUUGUUCAACUUAAUGCUCAAAUACAGCACUUCAAUAACAAUUUGAGUGACCUAGGCUUGCAGCUGACAUAGUGUCCAGGUGAUUGCCAGCUAAUCAAAGUGAUGAAAUUUAUCAAUCUGAAAUAAUUCACCUGAAGAUGUACAGCUAUAGUACAUAUUAUGAAAUUAUUGGGAAGGUGCAAAUUAUAUAUUGUGGAAGUGAGUGAUCUAAAUAAAAAACUGCAAAGUAAGUUAACUAAUACAUGAAGCAUUUUAAAUCAAGCAAUUUUAAGAUGUUGAGUGAGAAAUAAACUAUCUAUAAAAAUAAAAGUAAGGGA